rnacentral:rRNA from 1 species
GACAGAGGGUGCAAACGUUGUUCGGAAUUACUGGGCGUAAAGCGCGUGUAGGCGGCAGGGCAUGUCGGAUGUGAAAUCCCGUGGCUCAACCACGGAAGUGCACCCGAAACUGCCCAGCUUGAGUCUCGGAGAGGAAGGCGGAAUGCUUGGUGUAGAGGUGAAAUUCGUAGAUAUCAAGCGGAACACCGGUGGCGAAGGCGGCCUUCUGGACGAUGACUGACGCUGAGACGCGAAAGCGUGGGUAGCAAACAGG